GUAGGGAAUAUUGCGCAAUGGGGGAAACCCUGACGCAGCGACGCCGCGUGAGUGAUGAAGGCCUUCGGGUCGUAAAGCUCUGUUGCAGGGGAAUAAAAAAAUGAAGGUACCCUGUGAGGAAGGAUCGGCUAACUUCGUGCCAGCAGCCGCGGUAAGACGAGGGAUCCUAGCGUUGCUCGGAAUCAUUGGGCGUAAAGAGGGCGUAGGUGGCUUGGUAAGUCAGGUGUGAAAGCCCAGGGCUCAACCCUGGAAGUGCAUUUGAUACUGCUGAGCUUGAGUGUCGGAGAGGUUACCGGAAUACCUGGUGUAGUGGUGAAAUACGUAGAUAUCAGGUGGAACACCAGAGGCGAAGGCGGGUAACUGGACGAACACUGACACUGAGGCCCGAAAGCGUGGGGAUCAAACAGGAUUAGAUACCCUAGUAGUCC
rnacentral:rRNA from 1 species